rnacentral:rRNA from 1 species
UCUUGGAUCACCGAGUAAAUUCUAAAGCUAAUACUUGCUUAAAGCCCGAUUUUUUGAAAAGGUGUUUUUUUUUAAAAUGAAACCCCUCCCUUUUGGAAGAGUUUGGUGAGGUCAUAUAACCUAUCCGAACCCCAAGGUCUUGCCCCGGCGAUGAAUCAUUCAAGUUUCUGCCCUAUCAGGUUUCGGGGGGUGUGUAGUGCCCUACCCUGGGUUGGACGGGUAAGGAAUUUAAAGUGGUUUCUAUUUCAGAGAGGGAGCCAGAAAAACCGCUCCCACCUCCAGGGAAGGGAGCGCGCGCAUAAUUUACCCUUUCCUGACACAGGGAGGGAGAGACAAUAAAAAACAAUGCGGACCUUUUUGUCUUUUGCGUUUGGAAAGAAAACAAUUUAAAUCCUUUAUCGUAAAUCCUUU